GGAAAUGUGCCCGAAAGAUAAGGGCCUCUUUGAUAAAAAGGACUAUGGGGGUUCGAGUCCCCCCAAUUCCA
rnacentral:tRNA from 1 species